rnacentral:rRNA from 1 species
AUCCCCGGGCUCAACCUGGGAACUGCAUCUGAUACUGGCAAGCUUGAGUCUCGUAGAGGGGGGUAGAAUUCCAGGUGUAGCGGUGAAAUGCGUAGAGAUCUGGAGGAAUACCGGUGGCGAAGGCGGCCCCCUGGACGAAGACUGACGCUCAGGUGCGAAAGCGUGGGGGAGCAAACAGGAUUAGAUACCCUGGUAGUCCACGCCGUAAACGAUGUCGACUUGGAGGUUGUGCCCUUGAGGCGUGGCUUCCGGAGCUAACGCGUUAAGUCGACCGCCUGGGGAGUACGGCCGCAAGGUUAAAACUCAAAUGAAUUGACGGGGGCCCGCACAAGCGGUGGAGCAUGUGGUUUAAUUCGAUGCAACGCGAAGAACCUUACCUGGUCUUGACAUCCACGGAAGUUUUCAGAGAUGAGAAUGUGCCUUCGGGAACCGUGAGACAGGUGCUGCAUGGCUGUCGUCAGCUCGUGUUGUGAAAUGUUGGGUUAAGUCCCGCAACGAGCGCAACCCUUAUCCUUUGUUGCCAGCGGUCCGGCCGGGAACUCAAAGGAGACUGCCAGUGAUAAACUGGAGGAAGGUGGGGAUGACGUCAAGUCAUCAUGGCCCUUACGACCAGGGCUACACACGUGCUACAAUGGCGCAUACAAAGAGAAGCGACCUCGCGAGAGCAAGCGGACCUCAUAAAGUGCGUCGUAGUCCGGAUUGGAGUAUGCAACUCGACUCCAUGAAGUCGGAAUCGCUAGUAAUCGUGGAUCAGAAUGCCACGGUGAAUACGUU